CUGGUUUCACUUUCAAACAGAUGUAAUUUACCUUAAAUAAUUGUAUCUCAAUCUCCAAAUUGAACUUUAAUCACAUACAGGAGGCUCUUGCAGGAUCUAGCAAGUUAUUAACAUAGCAGGGGAUAAGACAAUCUUAAUUAAACAGAACUUGCAAUAAAGAAAGCUUAAAUAGGGCUCUCUUUACAGGAAGUGUUUAUGGAAGGCUGUGCAAGUCACAUGCAGGGAGGUGUGACUAGGGUUCACAAACAAAGGGAUUUAACUCCUAAAUGGCAGAGGAUUGAGCAGUGAGGCUGCAGGGGCAUGUUCUAUACACCAAAACUGCUUCAUUAAGCUAAAGUUGUUCAGGU